GUUGCACGAAACUCCAGCGCAAGAGUCCCGGGCCGCCGCUAGCACCAGCGUGUCACCAAGCCGAGAAGAUCCGCGGGCGAGAGCAGCGCGCGUGUGAGCCGGAGAGGUCCUGUCGCCCUAGUGGAGCCAAGCUGCUAUUCUUCUCAAGUUGAGCCUUAGUGAUUCUGUGGCUGAAAGACCCGAAACCCUCCAGCUGGGCGCGCCAUCGUGUGCCUUCUUUGUGUACCUCCCGGACUCACCGCUCCCGACCGGGCCUCCAAGCCCGGGUACAAAGCGGUCAGACCGCGCCGCCCUCCUCCCCCGCACGCGCUCCAGCCUCGGUUUCCCAGCUCGGCGCCGUCGGGCCGCGGCAGGAUGAUCGCCUCGCAUCUGCUCGCCUACUUCUUUACGGAGCUCAACCAUGACCAAGUGCAGAAG